AUUGAACGCUGGCGGCAGGCCUAACACAUGCAAGUCGAACGGUAACAGGAAGCAGCUUGCUGCUUCGCUGACGAGUGGCGGACGGGUGAGUAAUGUCUGUGAAGCUGCCUGAUGGAGGGGGAUAACUACUGGAAACGGUAGCUAAUACCGCAUAAUGUCGCAAGACCAAAGAGGGGGACCUUCGGGCCUCUUGCCAUCGGAUGUGCCCAGAUGGGAUUAGCUUGUUGGUGGGGUAACGGCUCACCAAGGCGACGAUCCCUAGCUGGUCUGAGAGGAUGACCAGCCACACUGGGACUGAGACACGGUCCAGACUCCUACGGGAGGCAGCAGUGGGGAAUAUUGCACAAUGGGCGCAAGCCUGAUGCAGCCAUGCCGCGUGUAUGAAGAAGGCCUUCGGGUUGUAAAGUACUUUCAGCGGGGAGGAAGGGAGUAAAGUUAAUACCUUUGCUCAUUGACGUUACCCGCAGAAGAAGCACCGGCUAACUCCGUG
rnacentral:rRNA from 1 species